ACAAACAGAGGAGGUCUCAUUGCACCUA
rnacentral:sRNA from 1 species